CGGGAUUAUUGGGCGUAAGGGCUCGCAGGCGGUUUCUUAAGUCUGAUGUGAAAGCCCCCGGCUCAACCGGGGAGGGUCAUUGGAAACUGGGAAACUUGAGUGCAGAAGAGGAGAGUGGAAUUCCACGUGUAGCGGUGAAAUGCGUAGAGAUGUGGAGGAACACCAGUGGCGAAGGCGACUCUCUGGUCUGUAACUGACGCUGAGGAGCGAAAGCGUGGGGAGCGAACAGGAUUAGAUACCCUGGUAGUCCACGCCGUAAACGAUGAGUGCUAAGUGUUAGGGGGUUUCCGCCCCUUAGUGCUGCAGCUAACGCAUUAAGCACUCCGCCUGGGGAGUACGGUCGCAAGACUGAAACUCAAAGGAAUUGACGGGGGCCCGCACAAGCGGUGGAGCAUGUGGUUUAAUUCGAAGCAACGCGAAGAACCUUACCAGGUCUUGACAUCCUCUGACAACCCUAGAGAUAGGGCUUUCCCUUCGGGGACAGAGUGACAGGUGGUGCAUGGUUGUCGUCAGCUCGUGUCGUGAGAUGUUGGGUUAAGUCCCGCAACGAGCGCAACCCUUGAUCUUAGUUGCCAGCAUUCAGUUGGGCACUCUAAGGUGACUGCCGGUGACAAACCGGAGGAAGGUGGGGAUGACGUCAAAUCAUCAUGCCCCUUAUGACCUGGGCUACACACGUGCUACAAUGGACAGAACAAAGGGCUGC
rnacentral:rRNA from 1 species